rnacentral:misc_RNA from 1 species
UCACUGCAAAGCUAUCAGCCUCAG